CAGCCGCCGCGGUAAAACGGAGGAUCCAAGCGUUAUCCGGAAUCAUUGGGUUUAAAGGGUCCGUAGGCGGUCUUGUAAGUCAGUGGUGAAAGCCCAUCGCUCAACGGUGGAACGGCCAUUGAUACUGCAGGACUUGAAUUAUUGGGAAGUAACUAGAAUAUGUAGUGUAGCGGUGAAAUGCUUAGAGAUUACAUGGAAUACCAAUUGCGAAGGCAGGUUACUACCAAUUGAUUGACGCUGAUGGACGAAAGCGUGGGUAGCGAACAGGAUUAGAUACCCCAGUAGUCCCUGUCUCUUAUAC
rnacentral:rRNA from 1 species